rnacentral:rRNA from 1 species
ACUACGGGAGGCAGCAGUGGGGGAUAUUGCACAAUGGGGGGAACCCUGAUGCAGCGACGCCGCGUGGGUGAAGGAGCGUUUCGGCGCGUAAAGCCCUAUCGGCAGGGAAGAAGGAGGACGGUACCUGACUAAGAAGCCCCGGCUACCUACGUGCCAGCAGCCGCGGUAAUACGUAGGGGGCAAGCGUGAUCCGGAUUUACUGGGGCGAAAGGGGGCGCAGACGGCAGCGCAAGGCCGUAGUGAACGACCGGGGCGCAACCCCGGGACUGCUCUUGGAACUGCGCGGCUGGAGUGCAGGAGGGGCAGGCGGAAUUCCUGGUGUAGCGGUGAAAUGCGUAGAUAUCAGGAGGAACACCGGUGGCGAAGGCGGCCUGCUGGACUGCGACUGACGUUGAGGCCCGAAAGCGUGGGGAGCAAACAGGAUUAGAUACCCGGGUAGUC